AAAUUUUUUUACUUUAAUAGCAUCCAAUUCUUCUCUAUUACCUCUCAUCCUUCCAAUGCUACCAUAUCUACUAAAGAUGCCUUCUAUUAUAAAUCUACAUAUUACCUUAGUAGUCUUGGUUCUCAAAGCCCUCCCUUCGACAUAAUUUGAUAGCUCUUCUCUUCCUAAAAUCAAAUAUUUUAUAUCCAAAAGUCUUCUUAGCAUAGCUACCAAAUCAAUUAUCUAUUGAAAAUGUAUUAAAGGUAGAUAAAUAAGAUAUAAUUCGUCUCUGUACCUAACUUUAGAUUAUAGUUGACACAUUGUGCAUGAGCUCAUAAAGUCUUCUAUAUCUUUGUAUAAAUUCUUCUAUCAAUAUCUUUCCUUGAU
rnacentral:lncRNA from 1 species